rnacentral:rRNA from 1 species
UACGAAGGGGGCUAGCGUUGCUCGGAAUGACUGGGCGUAAAGGGCGCGUAGGCGGUGUACACAGUCAGGCGUGAAAUUCCCGGGCUCAACCUGGGGGCUGCGCUUGAUACAUGUACGCUUGAGUUCGGAAGAGGGUCGUGGAAUUCCCAGUGUAGAGGUGAAAUUCGUAGAUAUUGGGAAGAACACCUGGGUGGCGAAGGCGGCGACCUGGUC